UUUAAGGUCUAACCUGCCCAAUGAGGAUUUAAAUGGCCGCAGUAUUUUGACUGUGCAAAGGUAGCAUAAUUAUUAGUUUUUUAAUUGAAAGCUUGUAUGAAGGGUUGGACGAAAUAAGAUCUGUCUUUAUUUAAAUUAAAAUAUAAUUUAACUUUUAAGUAAAAAGGCUUAAAUGUUUAUAAAAGACGAGAAGACCCUAUAGAUCUUUAUUUAGUUGAGAUUUUAAUAAUUUAGGAUUAUUUUAAUUUAAAGUUUUAAUUAAAUUUUAUUGGGGUAAUAUAAAGAUUAAAUAAAUUCUUUUUAUUUAUAACAUUGAUUUAUGAAUAUAUGAUCCAUUAAUAUUGAUUAUAAGAUUAAGUUACCUUAGGGAUAACAGCGUAAUUUUUUUGGAGAGCUCAUAUCGAUAAAAAAGUUUGCGACCUCGAUGUUGGAUUAAAAAUUAGCUUGGGUGCAGGAGCUCAAGAUUUUGGUCUGUUCGACCAUUAAAUUUUUACAUGAUCUGAGUUCAGACCGGCGUAAGCCAGGUCGGUUUCUAUCUUUAUUAAGAUAAAAUGUUUUAGUACGAAAGGACCAGGCAUUUAAUAUAAUUAUAUUUAUUUUUU
rnacentral:rRNA from 1 species